rnacentral:rRNA from 1 species
GAUGUGUAGGAUAGGUGGGAGGCUUUGAAGCGUGGACGCCAGUCUGCGUGGAGCCGACCUUGAAAUACCACCCUUUAAUGUUUGAUGUUCUAACGUGGACCCGUUACCCGGGUUGCGGACAGUGUCUGGUGGGUAGUUUGACUGGGGCGGUCUCCUCCUAAAGAGUAACGGAGGAGCACGAAGGUUGGCUAAUCCUGGUCGGACAUCAGGAGGUUAGUGCAAUGGCAUAAGCCAGCUUGACUGCGAGCGUGACGGCGCGAGCAGGUGCGAAAGCAGGUCAUAGUGAUCCGGUGGUUCUGAAUGGAAGGGCCAUCGCUCAACGGAUAAAAGGUACUCCGGGGAUAACAGGCUGAUACCGCCCAAGAGUUCAUAUCGACGGCGGUGUUUGGCACCUCGAUGUCGGCUCAUCACAUCCUGGGGCUGAAGUAGGUCCCAAGGGUAUGGCUGUUCGCCAUUUAAAGUGGUACGCGAGCUGGGUUUAGAACGUCGUGAGACAGUUCGGUCCCUAUCUGCCGUGGGCGCUGGAGAACUGAGGGGGGCUGCUCCUAGUACGAGAGGACCGGAGUGGACGCAUCACUGGUGUUCGGGUUGUCAUGCCAAUGGCACUGCCCGGUAGCUAAAUGCGGAAGAGAUAAGUGCUGAAAGCAUCUAAGCACGAAACUUGCCCCGAGAUGAGUUCUCCCUGAGACUUAGAGUCUCCUGAAGGAACGUUGAAGACGACGACGUUGAUAGGCCGGGUGUGUAAGCGCAGCGAUGCGUUGAGCUAACCGGUACUAAUGAACCGUGAGGCUUAACCUUAC